rnacentral:tRNA from 1 species
GGGCCCAUAGCUCAUCUGGUAGAGCUCCCGGCUCAUAACCGGGCGGUGAGAGGUUCGAGUCCUCUUGGGCCCACCA